rnacentral:lncRNA from 1 species
GUUAGCACUCUACGUGUAUGAAUAUCUGCUCCAUGUAGGAGCUCAGAAAUCGGCUCAGACAUUUUUAUCAGAGGUAUGUCUUAUGCAUUUUUUGCAUCACAUUUGCUAUAUAAAUGAAUGAAAAAUAGACUGGAAGGAUAGUUUGUAAAGUUGUUAUAUAGCAAGUGCUUAGGUAUCCUUUUGCAUAAUGCUGCCUUUAUAGAGUUUAAGCAUUUUCAGUACCACUAACUCCCUUUUCUGUGCAACUUAAUAACAUUCUAGUAACCUUUCUAACCAUUUAUUCCCUUAGAAAGUUACCUCAACAUGGCAAUAAUAACCAAGAAAGCAAAUUUGCUUUAGAAGCUUGUACCAUGUCUGCGAUACACACACCAACAUCCGAUUGUGGUGGUGUGCAUUUCUAUUCCCAGUCCAAGGAUAGGUGAGAACAGGCAGAUAGGUCCCUCGUGUCAGAGGCCAACUAGCCACAGAGAGGGCCACAGAGAGGCCCUGUGUGGAGAAAAGGUGGAUGAGAGCCAGUGUCUGUUUGGGUAAAAGUUCUUCCCAGCUUGCCUGCUGACUGAGUUUGAUCCCUAGGACAGCACUGUAGAAGAGAAUAGACCCCCUCUAAGUUGUCCUCUGAGAUCCCGUGAAUGCCAUAGUCCUCACAAGCACAAGUACACGUAGGUGCACAUGCACUCAUACGACAUGGACCCACAUGUGCCUGCACAUACAGUAAGCCUCCUUCCUGCACAUAUUUCUAACAGUAGCUUAUGUUAGCAUUGUUUACAAGUUUUGAUAAUGUGAUUUGUUUUUGUUUUAUAUGAAUAAGAGUUGAUUGCUUUGAAACAUCAUCUUAUCCCAAACUCUGGCUGUUCUCUCUUUUCCUCACGGUCAUGGUUUGGGUUUGUUGUUGGAAACAGGCUGACCUCAUACUUGCUGUGGUCCUGCCUCAGGUUCCUGAGUGCUGACUGCAGGAAGUGCGUCUCUUGCACUUCUCAAGCUCUGAAUCUGGGUGUUCUUGCAAGAACUCUAUUUUUCUUCUUUACUUUAGAUUAUGAUAAAUAUUAUGAAGGUGCUGAAUUCUGUUACUUAGUUGGCACAUCAUGUACCAAGGUAUAGUACACUUACCAUUUUAAAUUAUUGCAAGAAAUUCAUAAGAUACAUCAUAUUAUUGCUAUUUUAUUUAAUUGGAUGCUCCUGGGUCUAAACCUAUAGAACUCUUAAGUAAGUACACCACAGAUACACUUGUACAUUCAUAUUUAUUGCAAUGCUAUUUGUAAUAGCCAAAUUAUUUAGGUGUCCAUAAAUGGAGGGAUAAAUAAAUAAAAUAUAGUAAUAUGCACAGUAAAGUUUUAUUCAGUCAUAAAGAAUAAUAUAAUGAUGUUAUUUUCUGGGAAAACAGAUACAACUUGAGAUCAUCAUACUGAGUAAAAUAAACCAAAUU